GGUUCCGUGGUGUAGUGGUUAUCUCAUCUGCCUAACACGCAGAACGCCGCCGGUUCGAUCCCGGUCGGAAUCA